rnacentral:rRNA from 1 species
GGGGACCCGCAAGCGGUGGAUGAUGUGGAUUAAUUCGAUGCAACGCGAAAAACCUUACCUACCCUUGACAUGGAAGGAAUCCCGAAGAGAUUUGGGAGUGCCCGAAAGGGAACCUUCACACAGGUGCUGCAUGGCUGUCGUCAGCUCGUGUCGUGAGAUGUUGGGUUAAGUCCCGCAACGAGCGCAACCCUUGUCAUUAGUUGCUACGCAAGAGCACUCUAAUGAGACUGCCGGUGACAAACCGGAGGAAGGUGGGGAUGACGUCAAGUCCUCAUGGCCCUUAUGGGUAGGGCUUCACACGUCAUACAAUGGUACAUACAGAGGGCCGCCAACCCGCGAGGGGGAGCUAAUCCCAGAAAGUGUAUCGUAGUCCGGAUUGUAGUCUGCAACUCGACUACAUGAAGUUGGAAUCGCUAGUAAUCGCGGAUCAGCAUGUCGCGGUGAAUACGUUCCCGGGUCUUGUACACACC